AAAUUGAAGAGUUUGAUCAUGGCUCAGAUUGAACGCUGGCGGCAGGCCUAACACAUGCAAGUCGAACGGUAACAGGAAACAGCUUGCUGUUUCGCUGACGAGUGGCGGACGGGUGAGUAAUGUCUGGGAAACUGCCUGAUGGAGGGGGAUAACUACUGGAAACGGUAGCUAAUACCGCAUAAUGUCGCAAGACUAAAGAGGGGGACCUUCGGGCCUCUUGCCAUCGGAUGUGCCCAGAUGGGAUUAGCUAGUAGGUGGGGUAACGGCUCACCUAGGCGACGAUCCCUAGCUGGUCUGAGAGGAUGACCAGCCACACUGGAACUGAGACACGGUCCAGACUCCUACGGGAGGCAGCAGUGGGGAAUAUUGCACAAUGGGCGCAAGCCUGAUGCAGCCAUGCCGCGUGUAUGAAGAAGGCCUUCGGGUUGUAAAGUACUUUCAGCGGGGAGGAAGGGAGUAAAGUUAAUACCUUUACUCAUUGACGUUACCCGCAGAAGAAGCACCGGCUAACU
rnacentral:rRNA from 1 species